UACGUAGGGCGCAAGCGUUGUCCGGAAUUAUUGGGCGUAAAGAGCUCGUAGGCGGCUUGUCACGUCGGGUGUGAAAGCCCGGGGCUUAACCCCGGGUCUGCAUUCGAUGCGGGCUGGCUAGAGUGUGGUAGGGGAGAUCGGAAUUCCUGGUGUAGCGGUGAAAUGCGCAGAUAUCAGGAGGAACACCGGUGGCGAAGGCGGAUCUCUGGGCCAUUACUGACGCUGAGGAGCGAAAGCGUGGGGAGCGAACAGG
rnacentral:rRNA from 1 species